rnacentral:rRNA from 1 species
GAUGAACGCUGGCGGCGUGCCUAAUACAUGCAAGUCGAGCGAACGGACGAGAAGCUUGCUUCUCUGAUGUUAGCGGCGGACGGGUGAGUAGCACGUGGAUAACCUACCUAUAAGACUGGGAUAACUUCGGGAAACCGGAGCUAAUACCGGAUAAUAUCUUGAACCGCAUGGUUCAAAAGUGAAAGACGGUCUUGCUGUCACUUAUAGAUGGAUCCGCGCUGCAUUAGCUAGUUGGUAAGGUAACGGCUUACCAAGGCAACGAUGCAUAGCCGACCUGAGAGGGUGAACGGCCACACUGGAACUGAGACACGGUCCAGACUCCUACGGGAGGCAGCAGUAGGGAAUCUUGCGCAAUGGGCGAAAGCCUGACGGAGCAACGCCGCGUGAGUGAUGAAGGUCUUCGGAUCGUAAAACUCUGUUAUUAGGGAAGAACAUAUGUGUAAGUAACUGUGCACAUCUUGACGGUACCUAAUCAGAAAGCCACGGCUAACUACGUG